AACGCCGAAAUUCUUACUUUCAUGUACAAGGAUGGUGGAGAGGAAAGAACAAGAAAAAGAUCUGCACACACUGAGGAAAAAGGCCAUGUGAGGACACGCAGAAAAGGUGGCCAUCUGCGACCCACGGAGAGACCUCUCACCAGACACUGACCCUGCUGGCACCCUUAUCUGGAACUUCCAUUCUCCAGAACUUCCAGAACAACAUGUGGCUGCCUGCCUCCCCAUCUGUCCUCACCUCAAAGUGUACUUUACACCAUGCAAGCUUUGGGUUCCAUGAAAUCUGGAAACAUCCUGCAGAGACUGCAGAAUGAUAAUGAAAGAGAAACAACACAGAGAGUCCUUUGCAGCCCUGCAGCUUUCUCUAGCCUGUCACAGAGUCAAUAUGCAAACACAGAGUAUUACUGAUGUGGUCAGUAAUACAAACACUCUGAAGCAGAAAAGCAGGUGUGCUGGAGUCCAGACCAGAUUUCCUCUUGGUGCAUCAGAGACUGAGUUCAGACCACAUUUUUGUCCUUUAGCAUCCAUUGUUAGUAACCACGUAAGACACUCUUCACAGGUCUCAUUCCAGCAGCUUUGGAACGUAGCUUCUGUCAUUCUCAAUCCUUUGAUCAUCUUUUCAAAAUCAAGUUAAUGACUUUCUUCCAGGUAUGGUUAGAAAUAAAUAUUUUGACCUUAUGAAACAUACCUAACUACCGGUACCAUAGUUCUGGUGCUCAGACAAACAUCUUUUGUAUGAUGCCUCAUUGGCCUGAUUUAUUUCUGUCUCUGUGUGUAGUACAGAACACAAGGCAUAAUGCUAGAUAAAAUGCGAGUGACCUUCUGGAAACUGAUAAGUAAGUGGGACACACAUAAGAAAACAUUUAAUAUUCUGUAAUUAAGGUAUCAUAA